rnacentral:rRNA from 1 species
CCUACGGGUGGCAGCAGUGAGGAAUAUUGGUCAAUGGGCGGGAGCCUGAACCAGCCAAGUCGCGUGAGGGACGACGGUCCUCUGGAUUGUAAACCUCUUUUGUCGGGGAACAAAGGCGCCCACGGGUGGGCGGAUGAGUGUACCCGAAGAAAAAGCAUCGGCUAACUCCGUGCCAGCAGCCGCGGUAAUACGGAGGAUGCGAGCGUUCUCCGGAUUUAUUGGGUUUAAAGGGUGCGUAGGCGGACAGUCAAGUCAGCGGUAAAAAUGCGGUGCUCAACGCCGUACAGCCGUUGAAACUGGUUUUCUUGAGUGAGUGAGAAGUAUGCGGAAUGCGUGGUGUAGCGGUGAAAUGCAUAGAUAUCACGCAGAACUCCGAUUGCGAAGGCAGCAUACCGGCGCUCAACUGACGCUCAUGCACGAAAGUGUGGGUAUCGAACAGGAUUAGAUACCCUAGUAGUC